rnacentral:rRNA from 1 species
ACGCUGUAAACGAUGUCGAUUUGGAGGUUGUGCCCUUGAGGCGUGGCUUCCGGAGCUAACGCGUUAAAUCGACCGCCUGGGGAGUACGGCCGCAAGGUUAAAACUCAAAUGAAUUGACGGGGGCCCGCACAAGCGGUGGAGCAUGUGGUUUAAUUCGAUGCAACGCGAAGAACCUUACCUGGUCUUGACAUCCACAGAACUUAGCAGAGAUGCUUUGGUGCCUUCGGGAACUGUGAGACAGGUGCUGCAUGGCUGUCGUCAGCUCGUGUUGUGAAAUGUUGGGUUAAGUCCCGCAACGAGCGCAACCCUUAUCCUUUGUUGCCAGCGGUCCGGCCGGGAACUCAAAGGAGACUGCCAGUGAUAAACUGGAGGAAGGUGGGGAUGACGUCAAGUCAUCAUGGCCCUUACGACCAGGGCUACACACGUGCUACAAUGGCAUAUACAAAGAGAAGCGACCUCGCGAGAGCAAGCGGACCUCAUAAAGUAUGUCGUAGUCCGGAUUGGAGUCUGCAACUCGACUCCAUGAAGUCGGAAUCGCUAGUAAUCGUAGAUCAGAAUGCUACGGUGAAUACGUUCCCGGGCCUUGUACACACCGCCCGUCACACCAUGGGAGUGGGUUGCAAAAGAAGUAGGUAGCUUAACCUUCGGGAGGGCGCUUACCACUUUGUGAUUCAUGACUGGGGUGAAGUCGUAACAAGGUAGCCGU